UGCAACGCGAAGAACCUUACCAAGGCUUGACAUAUACGAGAACGGGCCAGAAAUGGUCAACUCUUUGGACACUCGUAAACAGGUGGUGCAUGGUUGUCGUCAGCUCGUGUCGUGAGAUGUUGGGUUAAGUCCCGCAACGAGCGCAACCCUCGUUCUAUGUUGCCAGCACGUAAUGGUGGGAACUCAUGGGAUACUGCCGGGGUCAACUCGGAGGAAGGUGGGGAUGACGUCAAAUCAUCAUGCCCCUUAUGUCUUGGGCUUCACGCAUGCUACAAUGGCCGGUACAAAGGGCUGCAAUACCGCGAGGUGGAGCGAAUCCCAAAAAGCCGGUCCCAGUUCGGAUUGAGGUCUGCAACUCGACC
rnacentral:rRNA from 1 species